UAUGAACCGUUAUAACCGGCGAUACCCGAAUGGGGAAACCCAGUGUGACUCGUCACACUAUCAUUAACUGAAUCCAUAGGUUAAUGAGGCGAACCGGGGGAACUGAAACAUCUAAGUACCCCGAGGAAAAGAAAUCAACCGAGAUUCCCCCAGUAGCGGCGAGCGAACGGGGAGGAGCCCAGAGCCUGAAUCAGCAUGUGUGUUAGUGGAAGCGUCUGGAAAGGCGCGCGAUACAGGGUGACAGCCCCGUACACAAAAGCGCAUGUGCUGUGAGCUCGAUGAGUAGGGCGGGACACGUGGUAUCCUGUCUGAAUAUGGGGGGACCAUCCUCCAAGGCUAAAUACUCCUGACUGACCGAUAGUGAACCAGUACCGUGAGGGAAAGGCGAAAAGAACCCCGGCGAGGGGAGUGAAAAAGAACCUGAAACCGUGUACGUACAAGCAGUGGGAGCACAGGUUUACCUGUGUGACUGCGUACCUUUUGUAUAAUGGGUCAGCGACUUAUAUUCUGUAGCAAGGUUAACCGAAUAGGGGAGCCGGAGGGAAACCGAGUCUUAAUUGGGCGUUAAGUUGCAGGGUAUAGACCCGAAACCCGGUGAUCUAGCCAUGGGCAGGUUGAAGGUUGGGUAACACUAACUGGAGGACCGAACCGACUAAUGUUGAAAAAUUAGCGGAUGACCUGUGGCUGGGGGUGAAAGGCCAAUCAAACCGGGAGAUAGCUGGUUCUCCCCGAAAGCUAUUUAGGUAGCGCCUCGUGAAUUCAUCUCCGGGGGUAGAGCACUGUUUCGGCUAGGGGGCCAUCCCGGCUUACCAACCCGAUGCAAACUGCGAAUACCGGAGAAUGUUAUCACGGGAGACACACGGCGGGUGCUAACGUCCGUCGUGAAGAGGGAAACAACCCAGACCGCCAGCUAAGGUCCCAAAGUCAUGGUUAAGUGGGAAACGAUGUGGGAAGGCCCAGACAGCCAGGAUGUUGGCUUAGAAGCAGCCAUCAUUUAAAGAAAGCGUAAUAGCUCACUGGUCGAGUCGGCCUGCGCGGAAGAUGUAACGGGGCUAAACCAUGCACCGAAGCUGCGGCAGCGACACUGUGUGUUGUUGGGUAGGGGAGCGUUCUGUAAGCCUGUGAAGGUGUGUCGUGAGGCAUGCUGGAGGUAUCAGAAGUGCGAAUGCUGACAUAAGUAACGAUAAAGCGGGUGAAAAGCCCGCUCGCCGGAAGACCAAGGGUUCCUGUCCAACGUUAAUCGGGGCAGGGUGAGUCGACCCCUAAGGCGAGGCCGAAAGGCGUAGUCGAUGGGAAACGGGUUAAUAUUCCCGUACUUGGUGUUACUGCGAAGGGGGGACGGAGAAGGCUAUGUUGGCCGGGCGACGGUUGUCCCGGUUUAAGCGUGUAGGUGUGUGUUCCAGGUAAAUCCGGUUCACUUUAACACUGAGGCGUGACGACGAGGCACUACGGUGCUGAAGCAACAAAUGCCCUGCUUCCAGGAAAAGCCUCUAAGCAUCAGGUAACAUCAAAUCGUACCCCAAACCGACACAGGUGGUCAGGUAGAGAAUACCAAGGCGCUUGAGAGAACUCGGGUGAAGGAACUAGGCAAAAUGGUGCCGUAACUUCGGGAGAAGGCACGCUGACACGUAGGUGAAGUGAUUUACUCAUGGAGCUGAAGUCAGUCGAAGAUACCAGCUGGCUGCAACUGUUUAUUAAAAACACAGCACUGUGCAAACACGAAAGUGGACGUAUACGGUGUGACGCCUGCCCGGUGCCGGAAGGUUAAUUGAUGGGGUCAGCGCAAGCGAAGCUCCUGAUCGAAGCCCCGGUAAACGGCGGCCGUAACUAUAACGGUCCUAAGGUAGCGAAAUUCCUUGUCGGGUAAGUUCCGACCUGCACGAAUGGCGUAAUGAUGGCCAGGCUGUCUCCACCCGAGACUCAGUGAAAUUGAACUCGCUGUGAAGAUGCAGUGUACCCGCGGCAAGACGGAAAGACCCCGUGAACCUUUACUAUAGCUUGACACUGAACAUUGAGCCUUGAUGUGUAGGAUAGGUGGGAGGCUUUGAAGUGUGGACGCCAGUCUGCAUGGAGCCGACCUUGAAAUACCACCCUUUAAUGUUUGAUGUUCUAACGUGGACCCGUUACCCGGGUUGCGGACAGUGUCUGGUGGGUAGUUUGACUGGGGCGGUCUCCUCCUAAAGAGUAACGGAGGAGCACGAAGGUUGGCUAAUCCUGGUCGGACAUCAGGAGGUUAGUGCAAUGGCAUAAGCCAGCUUGACUGCGAGCGUGACGGCGCGAGCAGGUGCGAAAGCAGGUCAUAGUGAUCCGGUGGUUCUGAAUGGAAGGGCCAUCGCUCAACGGAUAAAAGGUACUCCGGGGAUAACAGGCUGAUACCGCCCAAGAGUUCAUAUCGACGGCGGUGUUUGGCACCUCGAUGUCGGCUCAUCACAUCCUGGGGCUGAAGUAGGUCCCAAGGGUAUGGCUGUUCGCCAUUUAAAGUGGUACGCGAGCUGGGUUUAGAACGUCGUGAGACAGUUCGGUCCCUAUCUGCCGUGGGCGCUGGAGAACUGAGGGGGGCUGCUCCUAGUACGAGAGGACCGGAGUGGACGCAUCACUGGUGUUCGGGUUGUCAUGCCAAUGGCACUGCCCGGUAGCUAAAUGCGGAAGAGAUAAGUGCUGAAAGCAUCUAAGCACGAAACUUGCCCCGAG
rnacentral:rRNA from 1 species